CGGAUUGUAGGCUGAAACUCGCCUACAUGAAGCUGGAGUUACUAGUAAUCGCAGAUCAGAAUGCUGCGGUGAAUGCGUUCCCGGGUCUUGUACACACCGCCCGUCACACCACGGAAGUUGGGGGCGCCCGAAGCCACUUAGCUAACCCUUUUGGGAAGCGAGUGUCGAAGGUGAAAUCAAUAACUGGGGUGAAGUCGUAACAAGGUAGC
rnacentral:rRNA from 1 species